GGAGUGUCCCAUGCUGAUAUCGAUUAAAAUAUGAUUGCAUAGAGAAUUUUCAUAAAGACCUAGGACAAGUAUCCUAUAUUUUGAGAAUAAAAAGAUCUAUAUUGAUAAAUCUAAGAGAAUGCUUGAAUUUUCAUAGAAAUGUAUAUAGGAGAGAUGCUGAAAAGGUUCAGCAUAGAAACCUUCAAGAGGGGUCUGCUAUUCUCUUGGGCAUAGAAGUAGGCCAUGCUAUGUACUCAGCUUGAUAUAGUCAUUGUUAUGAGUGUUACAAGUAGA
rnacentral:lncRNA from 1 species